UUUCCGUAGGUGAACCUGCGGAAGGAUCAUUAUUGUAUAACCGAGGUGCGAGGGCUGUCGCUGACCCGAAAGGUCGUGCACGCCCGAGUGCCCUCACACACAUCCAUCUCACCCCUAUGUGCACCACCGCGUGGGGCCCCCUUUGGCUUGUUCGGAGGGGGGCUUACGUUUUCACACAAACUUUGUAUGCAGUGUAGAAUGUAUUUUUUUGUUUUUGCGAUCACGCAAUCAAUACAACUUUCAACAACGGAUCUCUUGGCUCUC
rnacentral:misc_RNA from 1 species